rnacentral:rRNA from 1 species
CGCGUGUGCAGCAACGGCGGCGUGCACUUCUCGGCCGGUUAGGACGUCGCAACCCGUUGGGAGUUGCCGACGCUUUAAGAGAGUCCAACGCGCGCGAGUCAAUGGGAGCACAAAGUUAAACCCAAAGGCGAAGCGAAAGCGAAAGACCGAAAAGUCGUCCUUCCGACGGGCUCUUCCUGUCCGAAUGUAACAUGAACACAGAAUUC